rnacentral:rRNA from 1 species
CCCUUAGAUGUUCUGGGCCGCACGCGCGCUACACUGAUGCAUUCAACGAGUCUAAAACCUGCUCUGAUAGGGGUGGGUAAUCUUUUGAAUGUGCAUCGUGAUUGGGAUAGAUGAUUGCAAUUUUUCAUCUUCAACGAGGAAUGCCUAGUAAACGCAAGUCAUCAGCUUGCAUUGAUUACGUCCCUGCCCUUUGUACACACCGCCCGUCGCUCCUACCGAUUGAAUGAUCCGAUGAAUAUCAUGGAUUGAGGAUGCAAGUAGGUUCGCCUAUCUUCAUCUUCGAGAAGUGAAGUAAAUCUUAUCAUUUGGAGGAAGGAGAAGUCGUAACA